UACAGAGGGUGCGAGCGUUGUUCGGAAUUAUUGGGCGUAAAGGGUGCGUAGGCGGGCUGCCAAGUUUGAGGUGAAAUCCUCCGGCUCAACCGGGGAAGUGCCUUGAAUACUGGCGGUCUGGAGGGAGGUAGGGGCGUGCGGAACUAACGGUGGAGCGGUGAAAUGCGUUGAUAUCUGAAGGAACAUCAGUGGCGAAAGCGACUUCCUGGACCAAUACUGACGCUCAUGUGCGAAAGCGUGGGGAGCAAACAGG
rnacentral:rRNA from 1 species